UACGUAGGGACCAAGCGUUGUUCGGAAUUACUGGGCGUAAGGCCAGUAGGCGGCCAACUAAGUCGGAUGUGAAAUCCCCAGGCUUAACCUGGGAACUGCAUCCGAUACUGGAUGGCUUGAAUUCGGGAGAGGGAUGCAGAAUUCCAGGUGUAGCGGUGAAAUGCGUAGAUAUCUGGAGGAAUACCGGUGGCGAAGGCGGCAUCCUGGACCGACAUUGACGCUGAACGGCGAAAGCUAGGGGAGCAAACGGG
rnacentral:rRNA from 1 species